UACGUAGGUGGCAAGCGUUGUCCAGAAUUAUUGGGCGUAAAGCGCGCGCAGGUGGUUCCUUAAGUCUGAUGUGAAAGCCCACGGCUCAACCGUGGAGGGUCAUUGGAAACUGGGGAACUUGAGUGCAGAAGAGGAAAGUGGAAUUCCACGUGUAGCGGAUGAAAUGCGUAGAGAUGUGGAGGAACACCAGUGGCGAAGGCGACUUUCUGGUCUGCAACUGACACUGAGGCGCGAAAGCCAGGGGAGCAAACGGG
rnacentral:rRNA from 1 species